rnacentral:rRNA from 1 species
AUUGAACGCUGGCGGCAUGCUUUACACAUGCAAGUCGAACGGUAACAGGCCGCAAGGUGCUGACGAGUGGCGAACGGGUGAGUAAUGCAUCGGAACGUGCCCAGUCGUGGGGGAUAACUACUCGAAAGAGUAGCUAAUACCGCAUACGAUCUAUGGAUGAAAGCGGGGGACCGUAAGGCCUCGCGCGAUUGGAGCGGCCGAUGUCAGAUUAGGUAGUUGGUGGGGUAAAGGCUCACCAAGCCAACGAUCUGUAGCUGGUCUGAGAGGACGACCAGCCACACUGGGACUGAGACACGGGCCAGACUCCUACGGGAGGCAGCAGUGGGGAAUUUUGGACAAUGGGCGCAAGCCUGAUCCAGCAAUGCCGCGUGCAGGAAGAAGGCCUUCGGGUUGUAAACUGCUUUUGUACGGAACGAAACGGCUCUGGUUAAUACCCGGGGCUAAUGACGGUACCGUAAGAAUAAGCACCGGCUAACUACGUG